rnacentral:rRNA from 1 species
UACGUAGGGUGCGAGCGUUGUCCGGAAUUAUUGGGCGUAAAGAGCUCGUAGGCGGUCUGUCGCGUCGAAUGUGAAAACCCGGGGCUCAACUCCGGGCUUGCAUUCGAUACGGGCAGACUAGAGUGCUGUAGGGGAGACUGGAAUUCCUGGUGUAGCGGUGAAAUGCGCAGAUAUCAGGAGGAACACCGGUGGCGAAGGCGGGUCUCUGGGCAGUAACUGACGCUGAGGAGCGAAAGCGUGGGGAGCGAACAGG